rnacentral:rRNA from 1 species
AGAUGGAUUGGUGCUCGAAAGAGAACGUUAACACAGGUGCUGCAUGGCUGUCGUCAGCUCGUGUCGUGAGAUGUUGGGUUAAGUCCCGCAACGAGCGCAACCCUUGCCAUUAAUUGCCAUCAUUUAGUUGGGCACUUUAAUGGGACUGCCGGUGACAAACCGGAGGAAGGUGGGGAUGACGUCAAGUCCUCAUGGCCCUUAUGGCCAGGGCUUCACACGUAAUACAAUGGUCGGUACAGAGGGUCGCCAACCGCAAGGGGGAGCCAAUCCCAGAAAGCCGAUCGUAGUCCGGAUUGAGGUCUGCAACUCGACCUCAUGAAGUCGGAAUCGCUAGUAAUCGCGGAUCAGCAUGUCGCGGUGAAUACGUUCCCGGGCCUUGUACACACCGCCCGUCACACCAUGGGAGUGGGUUUUACCAGAAGUAGGUAGUCUAACCUUCGGGAGGA